UAAAAUUAAGUUUUUCUGAAAAUUUUACUUUCGCCCCUACUCCCCCCUAAUUCAAAACACAGAUGUCCUGGAGUCAUACAGUAAGAGCCAGAGCUGCAUUCAUGCCUUGUGUAAAAGUGCGAGGUGAGAGGGCUAGAUUGAAAAGAAGCACCCAGUACUGGUACGCUGUGCCCCAAAAAGGGAAAUUCCAGAGUGGGGGAAGCAUGAAGAUGUGAAAAUAUCAGAUUUAAAAUGACAAACCACUUCCCUGACUUUUUUCCAUAGUAGAAAAAGAAACAAGAUGAUCAGCAUGUCUAUCUCGUCUGGUCUAGACAACUAAAGCUGGUUGCUGGUUAAAGAGCGCUGGAUGAAAUGGAAUCUUUCCAUUGAACUGAUUUUACGUGCUCAGUAUCUUGUGAAGGAUAGAGGCAGGUCUAAAUGUUACAAACCACACCCACCUUUACCCACUUUAUCAUUUUACAACAAGCACUCUCUCAACUCAAGUUACAUAUUUAGCUUUCAUUCACGAAGCAAGUAAUAAUACAGUUUAUCAGUAAAUAUGGAAAUAUGUAUAUUACUCAUUCUUUUAACAGCAGAAGGUGUAUUUGCUGAUAGCAUUAAACCAGACAAAGAUACUAAUAUACUCAAGACUGAAGGAGAAUCUUUGACACUGAGCUGCACAUAUGAAGCAAGCAGCAGUUAUAUUUAUCUUUACUGGUACAGACAGCAUAACAGCGAGCCUCAGUUUAUACUGCGGAAAGGUGCUCGAUCAAAUAGUGGUUAUGAUGAUAUACCAGACCCACGCUUUAAGUCAACAACAUCACAAUCAUCCACUGGACUCAUUAUUGACAGUGUAACUCUGUCAGAUUCAGCUUUAUAUUACUGUGCACUGAGAGUUGGAGCCCAGUGAUACAAAAUACAUGAGAGGCUUUACAAAAACUCACACACAGAUAUUGCUUUGAACAGUUUUUAACCAGAUAAACAUCAAACCACAGUUGUUCUUUAUGUGAACCACAAACUAAUUUGUAAAUGACAGAAUACAGUAACACCUGCUGCAAGUUUGGAGAGUUAUGGAGGGGUAAAAGUUAACAGUUGAUGCAGUUGUUGCUUUAAACAGCUAUCUUUCACCUGCUUAGAAACUACUUUUGGGGGCAGUUUCCCGGGGCAGUAAUGUUUUUAGCAUGUUUGUUAAAACUAGCUAUAUUUCCUAAUUAAACUAAGGCCUAGUCCUGGCUUAAAGGGGUCAUAGAGUGAAAAUUAGACUUUUUUCAUGUUUAACAGCUAUAAUUGGGUCCCCAGUGCAUCUAUCAACAUAGAAAAUGUGAUAAAGAUCAACUCAGAAACUUAAUUUGAGUAAGCCAUUUUCUGCAAACAUGUGAAAAAUUAGGUCAUUCAGAUUUCACCUGUUUUGUGAGAUAGCAAGGCGAAUUACAAUAAUACCACCACUUAAUCUGCACAUGAUUCGGACACGUGAAAACUCGGUAACACAUACCUUAAACGCUUGAAACGUUUCCAGCUGAAUUCAAAUACAGUCACAUUCCUAUCUUACCAUAUCUGCGCUACUUACCUGACCAACGGUGAGCUCAAACUGCCAGAAGCUGGCGGAAGGCUCAAUAGUA